UACGAAGGGGGCUAGCGUUGUUCGGAAUUACUGGGCGUAAAGCGCGCGCAGGCGGUCUUCCAAGUCAGUGGUGAAAGCCCGGAGCUCAACUCCGGAACUGCCAUUGAAACUGUUGGACUUGAGUACGAGAGAGGUGAGUGGAAUUCCCAGUGUAGAGGUGAAAUGCGUAGAUAUUGGGAGGAACACCAGUGGCGAAGGCGGCUCACUGGACCGGUACUGACGCUGAUGCGCGAAAGCGUGGGGAGCAAACGGG
rnacentral:rRNA from 1 species